rnacentral:rRNA from 1 species
GGUGAGUAACACGUGGGUAACCUGCCUGUAAGACUGGGAUAACUCCGGGAAACCGGGGCUAAUACCGGAUGGUUGUUUGAAUCGCAUGGUUCAAACAUAAAAGGUGGCUUCGGCUACCACUUACAGAUGGACCCGCGGCGCAUUAGCUAGUUGGUGAGGUAACGGCUCACCAAGGCGACGAUGCGUAGCCGACCUGAGAGGGUGAUUGGCCACACUGGGACUGAGACACGGCCCAGACUCCUACGGGAGGCAGCAGUAGGGAAUCUUCCGCAAUGGACGAAAGUCUGACGGAGCAACGCCGCGUGNNGUGAUGAAGGUUUUCGGAUCGUAAAGCUCUGUUGUUAGGGAANAACAAGUACCGUUCGAAUAGGGCGGUACCUUGACGGUACCUAACCAGAAAGCCACGGCUAACUACGUGCCAGCAGCCGCGGUAAUACGUANGUGGCAAGCGUUGUCCGGAAUUAUUGGGCGUAAAGGGCUCGCAGGCGGUUUCUUAAGUCUGAUGUGAAAGCCCCCGGCUCAACCGGGGAGGGUCAUUGNAAACUGGGGAACUUGAGUGCANAAGANGAGAGUGGAAUUCCACGUGUAGCGGUGAAAUGCGUANNGAUGUGGAGGAACACCAGUGGCGAANGCGACUCUCUGGUCUGUAACUGACGCUGANGAGCGAAAGCGUGGGGAGCGAACAGGAUUANAUACCCUGGUAGUCCACGCC